GCUGCAGACACAGGUGUGUGUUUGUGUGAUUCAGUAUAAAGAACUCCCGCCGAAGGCAAACACCUCCACACGUACACACACACACACACACACACACACACACACAUGCUAGUAUUUAUAGCCCCGUGCAGCUAAAAGUGCACACACUCACAAAUCUUUGUUCAACCUUGUAAAGGGCUUUCUGCUCAGAAUCUCCCACAUCUUGUCAGGAAUUCAAAAUUCCUUGGAAUGAGCGUACACGUUAAGAGAUAAUAAGCUACUUACCAAACAUGUCAGUCAGCUGUAAAGCAGAGCAGCGGAGAGAAAAGAAGACUGGAGGAAGAGACAGAGUUAAAAAUGUAAGGACAAAGGGAGGAAACAAGUUUAGUGUGUGUGUGUGUGUGUGUGUGUGUGUGUGUGUGUGUGUGUGUGUGUUUUAUGGGAAGGACCCGUCAUGAAGUCAGGAUGAGGCCGUAACUGUGAGCAGACACGGGCAAGAGAUGAGUUACUGCACCAGGCUUAGCCCCGUCCCAGAGGGAGAUGCUCACAUCUCAAACAAACAUACCCCAGGACCUGAGAGAGCCAUGGAGCCGGCUGAAAGAAAAUACUAAUUUUCUUUCUUUCCAUUACUCCUUGAACCCUUUCUCCCAGCUCUCUUUUUCUCACAUCUGUGCAAGCAGGGAAACCUUCUUUGCAAACUAUUUACUUCUUUCUAAUUAGUCAUGUUAGACUUUUACAUCUAAUUAAUUAGAGUACUAUUAAGUUGGGAUUAGUCAAACAAAAAGCAAAUGCUAAAAGUUUCUGUUUGUUUGGCUCAUUAACAAGGCAGUUUUCUUUCUGAGGGAAAUGUCUUUUUGAAAAUUUCAGUGAGCAUUGUGGUUGCUGUUGUCGGUCAGCUACUUUUCACUGCACGGCAGUAAAGCACUCACAGCACAUACCGCCCACUGUUGGUGUCAGGAGGUAAAGGACAGCCAAAAGUGUCUUCCAAAGCCACCCAGACAGGCUACUUAUGCAACCAUGACAUGAUUAACCUGCAGGAGGGAACCGAAGCAAAAAAUGUAGGGCAGUAACUCAACAGCAGAAUAAUCUGCAACAUUCUGACAGUCAGUUCAUCAUAUUAGUCUCUUUUUGUUUUUGCAUCCCAUGCGGGAGCAUUUCCUGUUUUUCAAUCACAGUAAAAUCAAUGGUGUUGGCCUUGUGAUGGGCAGUUUUUCCUGUUUCUGACAUUUUCAUACAUUACAAAGAUUCGUCAGAUUGAUGGGGCGCCCUGUCAAGCCUGAAGCCAUCCUGGAAGCUGGCCUUUGGGAGGUGCUUGUACUCAAUAGCUAUUAUUGAUUUGAUUCUGUUAUAGAACAAUAUGCACGAGACAUGAAGAAAUAAAAAAAAGAACAAUGUGAUGAAUCAUAAUAAAAGAAUAAAGAUUAAA